UUCAAAGUCUGGCUGCAGUUGUGUAAGCCUGAAUAUGUGAAAGAACAGGAAGUUACAGGAUGAAGGUAUGGACAGCAGGAGAGAAAGAGAGAAGGCACUGGGUGAAGAGGAAGGUAUAGAGAAGAGAUAGGAAGCAAAUACAGAAUAUGGGAAAGUAGAAAGAUAAAGGUGAGAGGAAAGGGAAAUAAAAGAUGAUGAAAAGACAGAAGUGUUCAUGCCAGUGCUCUGGCAAUGUGGGGCUGCAGGGCCAGACACAGCCUUGUGGCUGAAGUAGUGGUGCCUCUGGGGUAACACGUUUAAGAAAAGCACUCAGGCAGAAGGGGAGGGUAAAAAAUAGAGUGUGGAACAGUGAUGUGAACACCAAGGCCAGAGAAGAAUGAAGGAAGGAGGCACUCUGGGCACCAGAGCAGAGGAUCCCUUGCAGGCUGGGAGGGUCACAGCAGGGCAGAUAUCUGCACUGCAACCAGUGGAGGACAUGAUGCUGGGACAUUUGGCUGUUUCCUGAAAGAGGUGCUGCCCACAGAGAGUCCAGGCUGGAGCAGACAAACUGUGAGGAGGAAACAGUGGCAGAGAGUUGCUGGCAGUUGUGGACUGAGUGUAACCCCUAUCCCUCAGUGUGGGAAAGGUAGAGGAACUGGGAAUGAAGGAGGAAGGUUGACCCUAUCAGAAGAAAGCUGUUGUUUUAAUUUCUUUCUUUCUUUCUUUUGGUUGUUUUGUCUUUAUUUCUCUCUACCCAAAUCCUUUUUAAUUGGCAAUAAAUAUGUUUUCAUCAA